CCAGAGAGUGCUUCUUGAUUUUAAUAUACACAUGAAUGAAACAGAUUGAUCUAGCAGAAUCUGGGCAUUUCUAAUUAGCAACUAGUUGAUGCCAUUGCUGCUAAGCCAAGGACCAUACUUUGAGAAGAAAGAUUUUAGAAGAGACCAAAAAAGAAAAAGCAAUUUGUUUCAAAAUGGAACUGUAUAAUGUCUGUGAGAAUUGAAAAUGCAGAUUACUUACCACCACAUUACUGCCAGAAUGUAAUGAUAACUGCCACAGAAACGAAGGAUGGGAGCGGAGAUGAAAGAAAACGAUUAAUCGUCCUGUGGUGGUGUUCAGUGUGCCAUCUUCAGUUCCUUUAUCGUUUUCUGUCACAGUAUCUCUCACUGGCAAAAUGGAAUUAAUAUUUGCUCCCUCACUACUUUUUCAGAAUUUGAGAAUUUGCAUUAGAUCAUUUUAUAUGCAGCAUCCCAAAUAUGCAGUAAUUUAAAGCAUACAAGUUUAGACCACAUUAGAAUUGAGUUCAUAGUUUAUUUCCAUCAGACCUCUUUUAACCAUUUUGGUCUGUUGGAGUUUAAGUAGCAAGAUGCAGAUUGUGCAACCAUGUGGAGCUGAUCAAAUCAACCCCUGAAAGUGUAAUUGGUAAAUCUCUUCAAGUGCUUUUGAAAAAUUAAUCAAGACAGGUUUGGUGAACCUUUGCUGAGAGUGUCAUUAGGACAAAUGACUUGGUUCCCAAUAUAUUAUCAUAAAGGAAAACUCCAGCUGCAAAUCCCAAGGUGACCCAUUUAUCUCACUUGAAUGGAAAAUAAUGACUUUUUAAGCACUGCAAAUAAUUCCGCUGGUUUAAAAUCAAUUUGGUUAAUACAAUUAAAUAGAACUAUUUGAUCUUUCAGGUUCAAAAACCACCAACUUGACUCAGACAUUAACAUUUUAAUAUGGAAACAGCCACCAUAAUCUUCCAAUGCCCUCAAAAAUGGUUUAUAGGGACACGUUGUAGAAAACAGUGCAUAUAACAUUGUCUUUAAAAUCUUUCCAGAAUUAAUAAUAUAAACUGGUAUUGAGGUAUUCUGCCUUAAGCAUUCAUAUUUCACCUCAAAGCCAAUGCCUUUUUUUUUUUCACACAGUCUCACUUUGUCACCCAGUCUGAAGUGCAGUGAUGUGAUCUCUGCUCACUGCAACCUCCAUCUCCUGGGUUCAAGCGAUUCUCCUGCCUCAGCCUCCUGAGUAGCUGGGACUACAGGCAUGUGCCACCACACCCAGCUAAUUUUUGUGGAUUUUUUUUUUUAAUACUUUAAGGACUGAGAUACAUGUGCAGAACAUGCAGGUUUGUUACAUAGGUAUACACGUGCCAUGGUGGUUUGCUGCACCCAUCAACCCGUCAUAUACAUUAGGUAUUUCUCCUAAUGCUAUCCCUCCCCUAGCCCCCUACUCCCCAACAGGCCCUGGUGUGUGAUGUUCCUCUACCUGUUGUGUUCUCAUUGUUCAACUCCCACCUAUGAGUGAGAACAUUUGGUGUUUGGUUUUCUGUUCCAGUGUUAGUCUGCUGAGAAUGAUGGUUUCCAGCUUCAUCCACGUCCCUGCAAAGGACAUGAAUUCAUCCUUUUUUAUGGAUGCAUAGUAUUCCAUGGUGCAUAUGUGCCACAUUUUCUUUAUCUAGUCUAUCAUUGAUGUGCAUUUGGGUUGGUUCCAAGUCUUUGCUAUUCUGAAUAAUACUGCAAUAAACAUACAUGUGCAUGUGUCUUUAUAGUAGAAUGACUUAUAAUCCAUUGGGUGUAUACCCAGUAAUGGGAUUGCUAGGUCAAAUGGUAUUUCUGGUUCUAGAUCCUUGAGGAAUAGCCACACUGUCUUCGACAAUGGUUGAACUAGUUUACACUCCAACCAACAGCGUAAAAACGUUCCUAUUUCUCCACAUCCUCUCCAGCAUCUGUUGUUUCCUGACUUUUUAAUGAUCACCAUUCUAACUGGCAUGAGAUAGUAUCUGAUUGUGGUUUUGAUUUGCAUUUCUCUAAUGACCAGGGAUGAUGAGCUUUUUUUCAUAUGUUUAUUGGCCACAUAAAUGUCUUCUUUUGAGAAGUGUCUGUUCAUGUCUUUCUCCCACUUUUUGAUGGGGUUGAUUUUUUCUUGUAAAUUUGUUUAAGUUCCUUGUAGAUUCUGGAUAUUAGCCCUUUGUCAGAUGGAUAGAUUGCAAAAAUUUUUCUCCCAUUCUGUAGGUUGCCUGUUCACUCUGAUGAUAGUUUCUUUUGCUGUGCAGAAGCUCUUUAGUUUAAUUAGAUCCCAUUUGUCAAUUUUGGCUUUUGUUGUAAUUGCUUUUGGUGUUUUAGUCAUGAAGUCUUUGCCCAUGCCUAUGUCCUGAAUGGUAUUGCCUAGGUUUUCUUCUAGGGUUUUUAUGGUUUUAGGUCUUUCAAUUAAGUCUUUAAUCCAUCUUGAGUUAAUUUUUGUAUAAGGUGUAAGGAAGGGGUCCAGUUUAAGUUUUCUGCCUAUGGCUAGCCAGUUUUCCCAACACCAUUUAUUAAACAGGGAAUCUUUCCCCAUUGCUUGUUUUUGCCAGGUUUGUCAAAGAUCAGAUGGUUGUAGAUGUGUGGUGUUAUUUCUGAGGCCUCUCUUCUGUUCCAUUGGUCUAUAUAUCUGUUUUGGUACAAGUACCAUGCUGUGUUGGUUACUGUAACCUUGUAGGAGCCUCGUAGUAUAGUUUGAAGUCAGGUAGCACAAUGGCUCCAGCUUUGUUCUUUUUGCUUAGGAUUGUCUUGGCUAUACAGGCCCUUUUUUGAUUCCAUAGGAAAUUUAAAGUAGUUUUCUCCAAUUCUGUGAAGAAAGUCAAUGGUAGCUUGAUGGAGAUGGCAUUGAAUCUAUAAAUUACUUUGGACAGUAUGGCCAUUUUCAUGAUGUUGAUUCUUCCUGUCCAUGAGCAUGGAAUGUUUUUCCAUUUGUUUGUGUCCACUCUUAUUUCCUUGAGAAGCAGUUUGUAGUUCUCUUUGAAAAGGUCCUUCACAUCCCUUGUAAGUUGUAUUCCAAGGUAUUUUAUUCUCUUUGUAGAAAUUGUGAGUGGGAGUUCACUCAUGAUUUGGCUCUCUGUUUGUCUAUUACUGGUGUAUAGGAAUGCUUCUGAUUUUUGCACAUUGAUUUUGUAUCCUAAGACUUUGCUGAAGUUGCUUAUCAGCUUAAGGAGAUUUGGGGCUGAGAUGAUGGAGUUUUCUAAAUAUACAAUCAUGUCAUCUGCAAACAAAGACAAUUUGAUUUCCUCUUUUCCUGUUUGAAUGUCUCCAUUUAUUUAAAUCUUCCUUUUGUAAGCAAUUUUUAAUAUUUUUCUUUUUUCUUGUUUAUUUAUUUAAGACAGAGUCUUGCUCUGUUGCCCAGUUUCUUUCUCUUUAUUUCUUUCUCUUGCCUGAUUGUUCUGGCCAGAACUUCCAAUACUAUGUUGAAUAGGAGUGGUGAGAGAGAGCAUCCUUGUCUUGUGCCAGUUUUCAAAGGGAAUGCUUCCAGCUUUUGCCCAUUCAAUGUGAUAUUGGCUGUGGGUUUGUCAUAAAUAGCUGUUAUUAUUUUGAGAUACAGUCCAUCAAUACCUAUUUUAUUGAGAGUUUUUAGCAUGAAGGGGUGCUGAAUUUUUUCAAAGGUAGGCCUUUUCUGCAUCUAUUGAGAUAAUCAUGUGGUUUUUGUCAUUGGUUCUGUUUAUGUGAUGGAUUACAUUUAUUGAUUUGCAUAUGUUGAAUCAGGCUUACAUCCAAGGGAUGAAGCUGACUUGAUCUGGCUGUGACAUCUGUCACCCUAUUGAUGGCCAGGGUUGAUUUGGCUGAUCUGGCUGGCUAGGCGGGUGUCCCCUUCCUCCCUCACUGCUCCAUGUAUAUUAGCCCUUUGUGCACUCGGUCAAAGAGGAUGACCAUCCCUGAUAGAGGAGGACUGCAGUCUUUGGUCAAGGGUAUAGGAGUAGCUGCACUCCCUUGCUAGAACCUCCAAACAAGUUCUCAAAACAAAAUUUUUAAUUAGCCAGUUGUGGUGGCAUACACCUCUCUCCCACCCACUCAAGAGGCUGAGGCAAGAGGAUCACUUGAGCCCAAGAGUUCAUGGUUACAGUGAGCUGUGAUUGUACUGCCACAUUCCAAACUGGGCAACAGAGCAAGACUCCGUCUUAAAUAAAUAAACAAGAAAAAAGAAAAAUAUUUAAAAUUGCUAAAAAAAAAAAAGGAAGAUUUAAAUAAAUUGAGACAUAUUCUAUGUCCAUUAAUUUGAGUGUUCAUAAUUUGGAAGACUUGAUACUGUUGAGAAUUUUCCCCUAAUUGAUCUAUAGCUUCAGUGCAAUCCCAUUCAUAAAUCUCAGCAGGCUUUUUCAUAGAAAUUGACAAGCUGAUUCUAAAAUGUGUAUAGAAAUGCAGAAGACCUAGAAUGGUCAAAACAACCUUGUAAAAGAAAAACAAAGCUGAAGGACUUACACUUCUGACCUUAAGACUUACUAUAAAGUAACCAAGACAGUGUAUUACUGGCUUAAACAUAAAUAAAUAGAUCAGUAGAACCAAAUAUAAAAUCUGGAAAUAGACCCACACAUACAUAGUCCAUUGAUUUGCAACAGACACCAAAGCAAUUCAAUGAGGAAAGUAUUUUCAGCAAAUGGUUCUAGAACAUCUGGACAGCUAUAAGAAAAAGAGUAAACCUGAACUCUUACUUCACACCAUAAACAAAAAUGAAUUUCAUAUAAAUAUUAUAGACUCAAAUAUAAAAGCUAAAACUAUAAAGCUCUUAGAAUAAAAUGUAAAAGACUAUUUUCACAACUAGGAGUAGACAAAAAUUUGUUAGGACACGGAAAGCAAUAACCACAAAAUGUUUUUAAUUGGUAAAUUAAACUUCAAAAUUAAAGAACUCUGCUCAUUGAAAAUGUUAAGAACAUGAAUAGGCAAGCCACAGACUGGAAGAAAAUAUUCAUGAAACAUUUAUCUGAUUAAAAAAACUUUUAAGUGAAAAUACAAAGGCUUUUUAUAACUCAAUAGUAAAAAGAAAAACAAUCGAAGAAAAAAUGGGCAAAAUAUUUGAACAGACACUUUUACAAAGG
rnacentral:lncRNA from 10 species